rnacentral:rRNA from 1 species
AUGUCGGCUCAUCACAUCCUGGGGCUGAAGUAGGUCCCAAGGGUAUGGCUGUUCGCCAUUUAAAGUGGUACGCGAGCUGGGUUUAGAACGUCGUGAGACAGUUCGGUCCCUAUCUGCCGUGGGCGCUGGAGAAUUGAGGGGGGCUGCUCCUAGUACGAGAGGACCGGAGUGGACGCAUCACUGGUGUUCGGGUUGUCAUGCCAAUGGCACUGCCCGGUAGCUAAAUGCGGAAGAGAUAAGUGCUGAAAGCAUCUAAGCACGAAACUUGCCCCGAGAUGAGUUCUCCCUGAGACUWUAAGUCUCCUGAAGGAACGUUGAAGACGACGACGUUGAUAGGUCGGGUGUGUAAGCGCAGCGAUGCGUUGAGCUAACCGAUACUAAUGAACCGUGAGGCUUAACCUU